GAGAGCCGUAUGCGGGGAAACUUGCACGUACGGUUCGGAGGGAGACUUUUCGUUGCCAGUUAACUAAUAAGCUAAUCACGGUGCGGGGAGCCGACCCUAC
rnacentral:ncRNA from 1 species